rnacentral:rRNA from 1 species
GGGAAGUGAAACAUCUCAGUACCCUUAGGAAAAGAAAUCAAUUGAGAUUCCCUCAGUAGCGGCGAGCGAACGGGGAUCAGCCCAUUAAGUUAUGUGUGUUUUAGUGGAACGCUCUGGGAAGUGCGAACGUAGAGGGUGAUAUUCCCGUACACGAAAGGGCACACAUAAUGAUGACGAGUAGGGCGAGGCACGUGAAACCUUGUCUGAAUAUGGGGGGACCAUCCUCCAAGGCUAAAUACUCCUGACUGACCGAUAGUGAACCAGUACCGUGAGGGAAAGGCGAAAAGAACCCCUGUGAGGGGAGUGAAAUAGAUCCUGAAACCGCAUGCAUACAAGCAGUGGGAGCACCUUCGUGGUGUGACUGCGUACCUUUUGUAUAAUGGGU